CGGGGCGUAGCUUAGCCCGGUAAAGCGCCUGCUUCGGGAGCAGGAGAUCGGAGGUUCAAAUCCUCUCGCCCCGACCA
rnacentral:tRNA from 1 species